CUACGGGGUGCUCCAGUUAGGAAUAUUCUGCAAUGCGCGCAAGCGUGACAGAUUGAACCAGAGUGUUUUUCAAAUGAAAAGCUUUUGCCAAGUGUAAAAAGCUUGGCGAAUAAGGACUGGGUAAGACGAGUGCCAGCCGCAGCGGUAGUACUCGCGGUCCAAGUCGCAGCCAUUUUUAUUGGGUCUAAAACAUCCGUAGCUUGCUUGGUAAGUUUCUUGUGAAAUUUUAUAUCUCAAAUAUAGAGCGUGCAAGAAGUACUGCCUAGCUAGAGACUGGAAGACGUAAGAAGUAUGUUUGGAGUAGCGGUAAAAUGUGUUAAUCCCAGACAGACUAACAACAGCGAAGGCAUCUUACGAGGACAGUUCUGACAGUAAGGGAUGAAAGCUAGGGGCGCAAAACGGAUUAGAUACCCCUGUAGUC
rnacentral:rRNA from 1 species